UUAGGGAGCUGUCGAAGGUGGGAUCGGCGAUUGGGACGAAGUCGUAACAAGGUAGCCGUACCGGAAGGUGCGGCUGGAUCACCUCCUUUCUAAGGAGCA
rnacentral:rRNA from 1 species